AUCCAGUGUGUAUAUGUACAUUUCUUUAUCCAUCUGUUGGUGGAUUCUUAGGUUCAUUCCAUAUCUUGGCUGUUGUGACUGGCAGUAAACGCAGGAGUGCAGGUAUCUCUUCAGCAGACUGAUUUCAUUUCCUUUGGAUAUAUAUGCAGUACUGGGAUUGCUGGAUCAUAUGGUAGUUCUAUUUGUAGUUUUUUUUAGGAACCUCUAUGCUGUUUUCCAUAAUGACUGUACCAAUUUAUAUUCCCAAUAACCGUGCAGUGUAUAAGAGUUCCCUUUUCUCCACAUCCUUGCCAACAUGUUAUUUUUUUUCUUUUUGACAAUAGCCAUUCUUACUGUGGUGAGAUGAUAUCUCAUUGUGAUCUUGACUUGCAUGUCCCUAAUGAUUAGUGAUGUUGAACAUUUUUUCAUGUACUUGUUGGCCAUUUGUAUGUCUUCUUUUGAGAAGUGUCUGUUUGGGUCACUUGCCCAUUUUUGGUUUUUUUUUGAGACGGAGUCUUGCUCUUGUCGCCCAGGCUGGAGUACAGUGGCACGGUCUCUGCUUACUGCAACUUCCGCUUCCGGGGUUCAGGUGAUUCUCCUGCCUCAGCCUCCAGAGUAGCUGGGAUUACAGGUUCCUGCUGGCUGAUUUUUGUAUUUUUAGUAGAGACGAGGUUUCACCAUGUUGGCCAGGCCAUUCUUCAGCUCUUGACCUCAGGUGAUCCACCUGCCUCGGCCUCCCAAAGGGCUGGGAUUACAGGUGUGAGCCACCAUGCCCGGCCCAUUUGUCCACUUAAUUUUUUUUUUUUUUUUUUUUUUUUUGCUGUUGAGCUCCUUGUGUAUUCUAGAUAUUAACCCUUUGUCAAGUGAAUGUUUUGCAAAUAUUUUCUCCCAUGCUACAGGUUGUCUCUUCACUCUGUUGUUUCCUUUGUUGUACAGAAGCUUUUUUGUGUAAUAGAAUUCCAUUUGCCUGUUUUUGCUUUUGUUGCCUGUGUUUUUGAGAUUUUAUUUAUAAAAUCUUUGCCUAGACUAAUGUCCUGAAGCAUUUCCCCUGUGUUUUCUUAUAGUAGUUUCAGGUCUUACAUUUAGGUCUUUAAUCCAUUUUGAUAUUUACAUAUGGUGACAGAUAAGGAUCUAGUUUCAUUCUUCUGCAUAUGGUUAUCCUUACAGUUAUCCUAUUUUUCCAGUACCAUUUAUUGAAGAGUGCUUUUUUCCCAGUAUAUGCUCUUGGUGCCUUUGUGAAAAGUCAGUUGGCUGUAAAUGUGUGAAUUUAUAUCUGGGUUCUCUAUUCUGUUCCAUUGAUCUAUGUGUCUAUUUUUAUGCUAGUACCAUGCUGUUUAGAUAUUAUAGCUUUGUAGUAUAUUCGAGGCCAAGUAGUGGUGAUGCCUCCAGCCUUGUUCUGUUUGCUCAGGAUUGCUUUGGCUAUUGGGGGUCUUUUGUGGUUCCAUAUUAAUUUUAGAAUUUUUUUUUUGAAAUUUCUGUGAACAGUAUCAUUGGUAUUUUGAUAGGGAUUGCAUUGACUCUAGAUUACUUUGGGUAGUAUGGUCAUUUUAAUAUUUAUUUUUCUUAUUGGUGGAUAUUUAUAUUAAUUUUGCCUUUGUUGCUGCUAUAGGCAGUGUUAAAGUGGUAUUUAAUAAAUAAUAAUUUUUAUCAGAAAUUUCUAAUAGCCACAUCUGUUGUACGCUUUUCAUUUGUCUUUUUAUUUUUAUUUUUUUGCAACAAAGUCUUGCUCUGUCACCCAUGUUGGAGUGCAGUGGUGCUCACUAUAGCCUUGACUUCCUGGGCUCAGGCAAUCCUCCUACCUCAGCUGCCCAAGUAGUUGGGACUGCAGGCGUGUGCCACCAUGCCUGGCUUAUUUAUUUUUAAUUUUAAUUUUUGUGGAGAUGAAGUCUCACUGUAUUGCCUGGGCUGGUCUUGAAUUCCUGGGUUCAAGUGAUCCUUCCACCUUGGCCUCCCAAAGCGUUGGGAUUACAGACGUGAGCUACCCGUGCCCAGCCUUUCAUCUUUCUUGAUUCCUAUGAAUAUCUGCUAUGUUUGGCUUCUCCUUUCUUGAUAUUCUUCUUUGGAGGCUGAGAAGAUACCGCUCUGUGGUAUUCUUUCCUCCCUUUCUCCCUUCGAAGUCCUAACCAGGCCUGACCCUGUUAUAGCUUCUGAGGUCAGAUGAGAUAGGGUGCAUUCAGGAUGGCACAGCUGUAGAUUCUCGUUUUCUUUUUUUUCCUUUUUUCGAGACAGGGUCUUGCUCUUUUGCCCAGGAUGGAGUGCAGUGGUGUGAUCACAGCUCAUUGCACCCUUGGCCUCCUGGGCCCAAGUGAUCCUCCCACCUUAGCCUCCUGAGUAACGGAGACAAACUAUCUAUUUUUCGUAGAGACAGGGUCUCACUGUAUUGCCUAGGCUGGUCUUGGACUCCUGGGCUUAAGCAAUCCUCCUGCCUCGACCUCCCAAAUUGCUGGGAUUACAGGCAGGAGCCACUGUGCCCAGCGUCUCCUUCCUUUUGCUAGAUCUCUCUCUUGAAAUUUGGUCCUUGACUUUUAUUCCUAGGUAGGUGAUCUCUCUUUCACUUUAAACUUUUUUUUUUUUUUCUUGCUGACAUCCAACUCUUUAGCUCCAGCCUCUUUUUGAGCCCCUUAGACACAAAUGUAUUUUGGGGUCAGGUACAACCCAGAAAAUUCACCUCUCCUUCAGUCCCUCCUGCUGUAUUCCUUACACAUAUAGCAUAGCCAUAAAGUUAGACCUGGAUUCCAAAUCUGCCUCUGCUACUUACUAGCUGUGGACCCCAAUGGACACGUUUAUUACAAGAAAAUUUAAUCCUUUCAUCUAUAAGUGGAGUUAACAGUCUCCAUGUCAUGGGGGCUUUGUAAAGGUUCAUUGAGCCACUAUGUAUCUCACUGUGUACCUGGCAUAGUGCUUGGCACUUAGUCACUGGCAGCUGUUGUAACUGCCACCUACCUGACUAGAACCUUUCUGUAGCAUAUUGUCCAAUCUACAUUUUAAGUCUCUACAAUCUGGUCCUGCCUUUAUGUCCUCAGAACCCUUUCCUGUGACUUCAUGCUCUGUUGAUUCUCUGUCACCCAGGCUGGAGUGCAGUGGCACAAUCACAGCUCACUGCAGCCUUGACACACUGGGCUUAAGUGAUCCUCCUGCCUCAGCCUCCCAAGUAGCUGAGACCACAUGCGUGUACCACCAUGCCUGGAUGAUUUUUUUUAUUUUUUGUAGAGACAUAGUCUUGCUAGGUUGCCCAGGCUGGUCUCAAACUCCUGGGCUCAAGUGAUCCUCCCACCUUGGCCUCCGAAUGUUAGGAUUACAGGCAUGAGCCAGCACAGCUGGCCUUCUGUUGACUGUAGUUCUUUGGUGGUUUUGCCUCUAGUUUUAUCCCAUCUGGUAUCUGGUUUACAACAGCUAUUUCAAACACCCCAGUUAAUUGUGGUGAGAAUUUUGUAAGAUUCAGCAGGGUAGGAAGGAUGGGGACAGGUUCUUGGGGUGCAUGAAUGAGUCCUGCUUUCUCAGCCUGCUGGUGGUUUUCCUUAACCUCCCCCUUGCUUUGAUCUCUCACUUCUUCCACAUUCCUGGGCACCCACCCACAUCCCUUACCCCAGACACUUGCUUCCUACCUAGAUGCUAGCUUGGUGGGGAGGUGCAGGCUUGUCGCUGAAAUGGAGGUAAUGUGGGCCUGGGAUUUGUGUCUUUUUCAGAACAGUGCAGCCCUGAAACUCGUCCUGUUGAGAAAAAAAUAAGAUCAGCUCUUCCUACCGAAACCAUAAAGACUGUGGAAAACAAAGAUGAUGAUGACUCUAUAGCUGAUUUUCUCAAUAGUGAUGAGGAAGAAGACAGAGUUUCUUUGCAGAAUUUAAAGAAUUUAGGGGAAUCUGCAACAUUAAGAAGCUUAUUGCUCAAUCCACACCUCAGGCAGUUGAUGGUCAACCUCGAUCAGGGGGAAGACAAAGCAAAGCUCAUGAGAGCUUACAUGCAAGAGCCCUUGUUUGUGGAGUUUGCAGACUGCUGUUUAGGAAUUGUGGAGCCAUCCCAGAAUGAGGAUUCUUAAGAUGGAUUAUUGUGCUGCUUGCUCAAGUGUGUGCUUGACUCCUGGAACCUGCCUGCUCCCUCUCCCAGGAGACCAGCUAGUUGUGGGAGGGCGGGGGAGGGGGGGGAGCGGCGGGGAGCUCAGGCAAAAGAGGUUUCCAGGAUGCAGAUUAGGUCAUGCAGGCCUUUACUGGCAUUCAUGUGGCUCAUGUUUCAGGCAGACAUGGGGUCCUUAAGGUGGCAAGUCCUUUAUGGAGAGAAAACUUGACAUUCAGAUGAUUGUUUUUAAAUGUUUUACUUUUGGUACAGUUGAUAGACAUCAUAAAUGAUAUCAAGCUUUACACUUCAUAUGGAGUUAAACUUGGUCAGUGUUAAUAAAAUCAAAAGAUGUGAUUUUACUGUACAUUGCAUUAUUCAUAAUUUAAUUGUUUGAAAUUACAUUAAAUAAAUCAACUAAUUAAAUACU
rnacentral:sRNA from 1 species